UAUGGAUGAUCUUGUCCACGAUCGGGUCGAGGAAGUCGCGGUCAUGAGAGAUCAGGAUCAGCGUCCCGGGGUAGCUUUUUAACCAGCGCUCUAGCCAGAUCACCGCAUCCAGAUCCAGGUGGUUGGUCGGUUCAUCCAGCAGUAACAGAUCGGAGCGGCACAACAGGGCUUGCGCCAGGUUAAGGCGCAUGCGCCAGCCGCCGGAGAAGGAUUUGACCGGUUGCAGCAGUUGCUCCUGGCUGAAGCCGAGUCCAUGCAACAGGCUGGAGGCGCGGGCACGAAUGGUCCAGGCGGCGAUCGCAUCCAGCUUGCCGUGGAUCAGGGCGAUGGCGUUACCGUCGUUGCGCAGGUUGGCCUCUUCGAGCUGGCGCUCCAAUUGGCGGAACUCCCGAUCGCCAUCGAGGACAUACUCCAGUGCCGGCGUCUCCAGGGCUGGUGUCUCCUGGUUAACCCAGGCCAUCGCCCAGUUUGCCGGGAGGUUGGCGCUGCCACCGUCGGCGCUCAACUCCUGCUUUAACAGCGCCAGUAGCGUUGAUUUCCCACAGCCAUUCUUCCCGACCAGGCCUACCUUCUGGCCGGGGUUGAUCGUUGCCGAG
rnacentral:sRNA from 1 species